rnacentral:rRNA from 1 species
CCUACGGGGGGCAGCAGUAGGGAAUCUUUCACAAUGGGCGAAAGCCUGAUGGAGCAACGCCGCGUGCAGGAUGAAGGCCUUCGGGUUGUAAACUGCUUUUAUAAGCGAGAAAUAUGAUGGUAACUUAUGAAUAAGGAUCGGCUAACUACGUGCCAGCAGCCGCGGUCAUACGUAGGAUCCGAGCAUUAUCCGGAGUGACUGGGUGUAAAGAGUUGCGUAGGUGGCAUAAUAAGUAGCUAGUGAAAUCUGGUGGCUCAACCAUUCAGACUAUUAGCUAAACUGUUAAGCUCGAGACCGUUAGAGGUAACUGGAAUGUCUAGUGUAGGAGUGAAAUCCGUAGAUAUUAGAAGGAACACCAAUAGCGUAGGCAGGUUGCUGGGACGGUUCUGACACUAAGGCACGAAAGCGUAGGGAGCAAACGGGAUUAGAUACCCGAGUAGUC